GAUUGGUCCAAAAGUAGUGGGUUAUUGAUUUGCAUUCUCCAUCUCCCCUUUUUCUCCACUACUGCCUUUGACCGAUUUUAU
rnacentral:Y_RNA from 1 species